GUGGGUUCUUCAGCUCAUAAACGCAAAGGAAAGGCGCCAGUCCCCAUUGACACUUCCACUCUCCGUCGCAGCACUCGUACUAACAAAUAUGAUGGAUUUCGCACCACCUCUCUGUCUGAAGCCAAGGUCUCUAAAUCCAAGGUAAAACCGCGCACUGUUCCUACAGCCGUCUCUGCUGGUCCUGCAACUGCUGCUUCAAAUCAGAUGGCUCCUGAAGAUCUCCCUCCUCCAACUGACAUUGCCACAAUGCAAGCCAUUGGCACAAAUCUAUGUGCUAUCCCGGAGGAGGAGCUCACGGUUGCUGCUUUCACUGAAGACCCGGCGGGGACCUCUUCAUCAACCUCAGCUUGA
rnacentral:rRNA from 1 species